AAGGCAGGCAAGGAGGGUCAGUGCGGGCCCACUGCCUCACCUGCUGCUGAAGGAAAAGACCCCGCUACACAGAUUUCAUGACUUUUUGGUCCUAGAAGAAUUUCCUGGGCCAAGUGGCUGAGUGGGCUAGAAAUUUCAGUAGUGUUUUCCUCCCAGCCUUGAAAUAAAUGUUAACUGAAUUGUGAAAAGCAAACUAUUGACCCUGUUUGUCAGAACACAUUUGUGCUAACAAUAUUCAGCCUUGCACUAUCCCCUGUGUUUCUUCUUUGCUUCAAAACGUUUUGGAUUCAAAUCCUUUAGCUGAUACUCCAUGAUCAAUUUUGCUUUCCCAAGACGUGAUAACAAUUCUGAGCUAAUAAUUCCACAUCAGUGCUGCAGUACGAAUGCCCAUCCACAGCCCUCACCACGACCAUUUUCACAGCUUGGAGAAAGAAUUCAGAAACCCUACAAUGUCCUAUGCAAUGCAAAAGGAAACAGAUGGGCAGUCCUGGUCCUUUGCCCAGUGCAGGUACAGACCCAGCUUGCUCCCUUCCGGCAUCUUCUGAGUCAGUCUGAAUGUAUCACGAACCAUGGAGCCACAAACUGUAUUUGAUUAGUUGUAAUACUAAAAUAAAUGGAAUCAUUUGGGUUGUGUGACUUUCCCUAUGACAGAUAAAGCCAGAAGCAACAAAUUCCCUAGUGGGUAUAUAUGAUUAAUGUAUGAUGAAUUUAUAAUAUUUUUGCUUUUGACAGACUUUCAGAAGAAAUUGAGACCUGUUCUACUAUCACACUUUCUAAAUAAAAUUGCACUUUUACUUUUUGUGUCAGAAAACUUGCUGAUAAGCCAGAAAAGAUCAGAGAAAUAGAUACAUUUGGGAGAAGAUUUUACAUUAUUAUUGGGUCUUUGUUCCAAGCAAUUUCUGCAUCUUAGGGAUCAAGGUGAGCCUCCCAUAAUGCACCUGCCAGUAAGCAGGUAUUAAAAGGAAGUCUUUCUAGGCAUUUAUCUGUGAGACAUCAGACUGUAAGAUGAAAAGAUGACCUAGGGAUUUGCUGACCAUCACAGGCAAUGCUUGCUAUGAUUAAAGCUACAUAUGUUACCUGGACAUAGCUACAUCAAAGUACUAAUUAGGGAACAUGUGCUUCUAACUGGUACCCUCUGAGGCUAAUAUGCUUUCAUUUGUGUUAAAAACCAUGACUGAUGCAGAGAAUCAGUGCGAGGUAGAAAGAUAUAUCUAUAUAAUGGACAGUAUUACUGUACUCUCAUCUUUUCUGUGGUAUAUUCUCUUUAUGCAGAGAAAGAAAAUCUGUGUUUAUCUCACAGGGCUGAGACAUCCAAUUAAAGAGCCUUGUCCUACAAAAUCAUCUUUCUGAAAGAAAAAAUGAAAGAAAAUUGGUUUGAUUCACUUAUUCCUGAUGAUAAGUACUUAACUAUCAGUUUUCAGGAGAUUCUAAUACUAUAAUAUUCCCCAAAGGCUUGCUGUAAUGGGGAUAGACCACACUUACACAAAGAAGAAGGGAAAAACAUCACCCACACAUUGUGCAUGAAUAUAGAUGAUUUUUAAAAACUGAUUUACCAAGGCAGGCAAUAGAUAGCUAACAGAUGAAGCAGUUAAUAGAAAAAAAACCUUUAUAUAUUGGCAGUGAAGCAGCCAGGAUGCAGUGUGUGCUGUAUGUGAGAGGUGCUCCCUGGUUUGCAGCACCUCGUGCUCUGAAUGCCCCUCUGUUUGGGAACACAGCAGUGCCUCUGCUUGGGGGAAUUUUGCCUUCCUCUGCCACAUAGCAGAGAGGGAUACAACAAAUCAAGUCAUACCAAAGUAGGGAGGGACAUUAUUCACCUUCCAGAAAAAAAGCAUCUAACUGUUCUCCUACUGAGUCAUAAAACUGCAUACACUUAAGUGUAAAAGAAACCAGACCUAUCUCUUCAAGUCAGACUGGUUUUGAUACUCUUUUAUCUAAGGAACAACAGAACCCAAUUGUUUCUUGGUUGGGCAUAGACCAUUUGGAGGCCAUAUGGACAUCCAGGUUUUUAUUGCACAUGCAAAGGAUAUUUUACAGUAACAAGUUACACUCUCAGUGCUUCUUCACUGAGUGAGGCUGCAGGGAGAUCAAAUAAGUUUUUCUUUAAAGAAAACACAACAAUAGAACUAAUGUGACUAAGUGCACUACAUUUACUGUUCCACUUCAUCUGGUAUAGGUAAGGAUAGAAAAGGUCUAUUGAAAUGACUGCAAAGGUGACAAGCCUUCAGAAACUCAGCCACUUUCAUUUAUUACUUACUUGAAGAAGUAAUUAGGGUUCUUACUUCUUGGCUAAUGCCUCCUAAUAGUCACUUUAUUCUUGAAAAUUUUACAAUACUUUGACAGCUGGAAGAUAAGGUAAUUGUGUAAAAAUGUUUAUCAGGAAUGGCCUAAUAAAAAUAUUUUCUUUCAGGCUACAAAGGCCUAUGCCUAUCUUUUUCUGCAGAGAGGUGGAAUGGAAUAACUUGUGCCAUAGUGUGUAGGAAAUAGAGGCAGGCAAUGGGAAUACAUAAUGAUAAUCCUGCCCAAGUGCUAUGAAUGUGAAAGGCCAUUCUGCCCAAACAGUACUCUGCCAAUAUGACAUCUUGAUUUUUCUUCAGAUGUUUCUCAUGGAGAGCAGAGUUUCUUUCAUCCAUUACACAAAGUAAUUUUAAUUUGUAUUUCAGAAAACUAGAGGCAGCACUCUCUGCUAUUCACUUAUCCACACACUGCUUCCACUGCAGAGGUGUUAGUCAAAGGCAUGGAUGUGUGAACAGCUCUGGAGUGCCCAGCCACGGCAGGGAUCCACACAGAUCUCCCAGAGGUGCCAGGACUAGGGCGAGUGUGAGGCAGAAAACAGUUCUUCUUUUGUCAGUAAAAGCUCAGCUGGAUUGAAGCAGUACUGGCCUGGCUAGGAAAGGAAUUAUAGGUGAGGAAGGGGUUCAGUACUUGGCCCAUCACUUGUCUAACAGAAAUGUCAUCAGAAUCAGAAAUGCAUCAUUCAAGUGCAGGCAUAUCAGAAAUCUUUGGGUUGUCUAUUAUGGCUGAGUCCCUACUUCCAGUGACAAAGCAAAUGCAGACUUUAUAUCCACAGACUCCUGACUCAGCAUCAUCAAUAAUUGAGCUGUUAAAGCAGUUCCUUCUUGUUGAAUGGCACUUUGUUCCCAAGUAGAGCCUGUUGCUUGAAGACCAUUUUUCUUUUAAAAGCUGGGCUGUUCUAUACUAAUGUUCUCCCAAUAUAAACAUGCUUUUCAGACCUCUUAUUGGCUUUGUCCAUGUGUAAAAUCCCAUUUUUUCCGCAUAUUCACAAUAAUUCAAACUUAGGUGUCAAUCACUUUUUCAUUCCCAGGAAACAAUCUUGUACCAUGGAAUAUAUUCCACUCCUGUCAUGGUACAAAGUGAACUAUUAGAAAAGGAUAAAUAAUACUUAAGGAAAUAUAUUUUUCCCUGCCUUUGCCAUAUUGUUUUUAAAAUUCUAUUUCCCAUUGUAUUUUCUCCUACAACCUGGCUUUGUGAUGUUGCUGUCUGCAUGCAGAAGCUAUUUAAGUGGAACGUUGCACCUCACUUGUUCAGAGCUUAUAAUGAAGAAAAAUGUGCAAAAGCAUUACUUCACAAAAAACAGAUAAGCUGCAGAAUCUGCAAUGUAUUGCAAAGCAGUAGCUGCGAGGUCCUUUAAAUGUAUCUGGGAUCAAUCCCUUAUGAGGUAUUAUCUCAUUAAAACUGGCCCAAACCCCAGCCUGCUCAGUGAUAUUUAGAUUUCUACAUCUAGCUGAUAGAAGGAAAAGAAGUAUUACACCAAGGCAUUCAAAAAAGAGAGAGAGGGAAAAGCUUUUUUAGCUUAUCUGCUUUCAUAAACAGCCAGAGGAAACUUAUUUGUACAUGCCUUCUGAAAAAGGAGUUCUGACACAAAUGAUGUUAAUACACUCUUAAAGUUGGAUAUGACUGAAUGAGAUCUUGAUCUGGAGCAUCUGAAAGGUUAUACUUGUUUACACUUAGCCCUCAGUUUGGUCCUAUAUUAAGGUGAGAUCCAGCUGUGAUGAUUUCAAAAUGUGUCCACACAGACGGUCAGAACAGCCCUGGCAGUUUGGGAACUGGGAUGCAAACAGAGUGCUGGUUUAUGACUAAGAACAUCUACCAGGUACCAACUGGUAGUAUAUGGAAUGUAUACUGUAAGUGUAUAGGGAAUACGGCAUUUUGUGGCUUCAGCUGUUCACUUUACUCUUUCGUUUCUUUCCUUCCCCAUAAGCCUAUUUCUGUAAAGAUUCAAUAUGUCCAUUGAUAACUCAGUCUAAAUGACCAUAUUUUCAAUUAGAGUUUCAUAUAGAGUAAUAAUUUUGGGAUACAGACUGAAAGGUAGGUAGAGUUUGUUUCAUACUACAAAUACCACAUUGGUGGCAAAGUUACUUAGAAAAAUAAAGAUUCACUUUUCUUAAAAAAUAGCUAAAAUAGAAGGUGUUAUAAAACAUUUGGUUAUGAAAACCAGGGCAAGCCCAGGUUUACUCCUCCACCCAGAGGACUCUCAGCUUUACACUGCAUUAUGAACAAGAGAAGAAAAUCAGCCAAGAACUAUCUUACAGGGUGUGUCCUAUACACAUUUGAAAUAUCUCUGUUCCAAGGUACCAUUUUCCUGUACACUUUGGUAUAGUAAGGUCUCUCAGGUCACCUCAUCAGCCACAAAUCAUUUUUUGGAUUGGCUUUUUUUUUGUUUGUUUUCAUUGGUUGGUUUGGUUUGACUUUUAUUUUCUUUUACUUCAGAAAAUCCUAUAACAUUAUUUGAACAUGCAUUUUUUGUGGUUUCCCUUUCCUUUCUCUAUCCCUAAAUUGAUUGUUUAAAGACUAACCCUCUGAAGGAAGCAAAUGAAAACUGAUGUCAUAUUGUGUCAGAUGAUUGGGUAUUCGAGAAUUUUAAUUUCAAAAUACAGUGGAUUAUUGUACUUUAGACAGUGGAUUUUUACUGUGCUACCACCUAAUGAGAGCACAUGUGGUCUUCAGAACUGAAGUCACAGGGGAGCACUGCUUUUAAAUCCCAUUAAUUUUUUGGUAGACUUGUUAUUUGCUUUUCUCUUUCCUUCCCCAGAGUUUCAGCACCUUUGAACACUCUAGAAGAAGUGCUAAUGCUUUACUUCACAGAAAAUGUCCUAGGUACAAAUCAGCCUGCUACAACAACAGCCAGAGUACCGCCGCACUCUGCUACUGGUCUUGCUUCCCUACUUAUUUAAAGCCUGUUAUGAGAGCAAAUUACCCAAAAGAAGGCCAGGAGAAUGGGGGAGAUAUGUACUUGGGGGAUCACAGCUGCUGGGAAGUGGAGCUCAGCCAUGCCAGACCCCUCUGCUGCCUCUCCUGGUGCUCCAAUCUCUGACUCUCUGGGUAGGUUGGGCUCUCCCACUGUACAUUAGCACAGGCUGAAUCCCAUAGUGGGACUGUUGCUCAGCAACAGCGGCGAGAACAAUUUGGUUUUGGACCAUUCAGAAGAUGAUUACAUUUGCAGCAUGUUCCCCCCCACCUCCCCUCCCCUUCCCAGUACCUAUUCCUGGAUAUUGUAAAUAUUCAUCCCAGUUUUGCAUAUACAGUAGUUUCCCCUCUAGGUAAAAACCAUACCAUCCAAAUGAGCUUUUAAGAGUACUUUACUCUAAUGCAUGCCUACAUUUCCUCUCAUUCAGUAGGUAUAAUGUUGCACACAAAAUGGCAUUGUUGGGCUUCUGGGGGGGUUUAUUUGUUUUGUCUAUGUCAGAAAAAUUUCAGCUGGAGCAGGGCUGGGCUCUUUAUGACAGUGCUGCUUCAUUGCUUUUUUUGAGACACGUAAAACAAGUGAAGUAUUUAAAUAGUUGUGAACACCUGAAUGACUUUAAAGCAUUUCAGUAAGAGAUAGGUUCAGAUCUCCAGAUUUCCAAUUUCCUUCCUAAUUGUUUCUUUAUCUACACAUCUUUCAGCAUCCCAUUAGAAAACCAGUCCCACGCUCUCAACUUAAAAGAGUUUGUCUGGAGACUAUAAUGCAAUAUUUAAAUAUUUGUCAUACAUUUCCCUCAGCUUUCACUCUCAGUAGUAAUUUAUUCUAAAUCUUCCAGUUUUCUUUCUAUUAACACAUACGUAACUGCUGCAAGGGUAGCUCUCCAGGUCAGCCAUCCUGAUCCACCCACCCUUUUGGCAAGGCCUUCCACUCCUGCUCCUUUUGUCUUUAGUGCCUCCUUCAUGCCCUGCAGAGCAGUGUACACUCACCCACCUGUCUGUGCCACAAUCACAGAAACUAACUUGGAUAUACUAUUUACAAACAUCACAUGCAACCUUCCCCUUAUUUCUCCCCCCAGGAAAACAAGAAGAGAGGGAGAAAAAAAUACU